rnacentral:lncRNA from 1 species
GUCUGAAGCUCUCUCAAUUGCUGAUCAUCGCAUUCCCGAUGUGCCAUGUUAAAGUACCUACCUGCACCAUUGCUUCUAGAUCAUCGCUUCUCUACGCAUCAUUGGUUGAACAUCAUCGGUUCCACAUCAUCCAUUAUUGCUUCCACAUUGAUGCCAUGUCAUUGCGACCUCCAACAUCCGCAUCCACCUCAUAUCCAUUUAGGUGCCACAUGCCGACUACCCAUUGCUCCAUAUGUCAUUCUACCAUUUUUCGUUCCAAGAAAAAGAUUUAGGUAGGUAC